rnacentral:rRNA from 1 species
UACGGAGGGUGCAAGCGUUAUCCGGAUUCACUGGGUUUAAAGGGUGCGUAGGCGGACAGGUAAGUCAGUGGUGAAAUCUCCGAGCUUAACUCGGAAACUGCCUUUGAUACUCUCUGUCUUGAAUAUGGUGGAGGUAAGCGGAAUAUGUCAUGUAGCGGUGAAAUGCUUAGAGAUGACAUAGAACACCUAUUGCGAAGGCAGCUUACUACGCCUAUAUUGACGCUGAGGCACGAAAGCGUGGGGAUCAAACCGG